rnacentral:rRNA from 1 species
UCUGUCUUAGUGGCGGACGGGUGAGUAACGCGUGGGCAACCUGCCCUGUACCGGGGGAUAACACUUAGAAAUAGGUGCUAAUACCGCAUAAUAGGGAAUACCGCAUGGUAAUCCUUUGAAAACUCCGGUGGUACAGGAUGGGCCCGCGUCUGAUUAGCCAGUUGGCGGGGUAACGGCCCACCAAAGCGACGAUCAGCAGCCGGCCUGAGAGGGUGGACGGCCACACUGGGACUGAGACACGGCCCAGGCUCCUACGGGAGGCAGCAG